rnacentral:rRNA from 1 species
UACGGAGGGAGCUAGCGUUGUUCGGAAUUACUGGGCGUAAAGCGCACGUAGGCGGCUUUGUAAGUUAGAGGUGAAAGCCCGGGGCUCAACCCCGGAAUUGCCUUUAAGACUGCAUCGCUUGAAUCCGGGAGAGGUGAGUGGAAUUCCGAGUGUAGAGGUGAAAUGCGUAGAUAUCGAGAGGAACACCUGCGGCGAAGGCGGGUUGCUGGGCUGGAC